UCGGGAGGGCGUUUUACCCGGUGUGCUUCAUGACUGGGGUAAAGUCGUAACAAGGUAACCGUAGGGGAACCUGUGGCUGGAUCACCUCCUU
rnacentral:rRNA from 1 species